UACGGGGGGGGCAAGCGUUGUCCGGAUUUACUGGGCGUAAAGAGCGUGUAGGCGGCCACGCAGGUCCGUUGUGAAAACUGGAGGCUCAACCUCCAGCUGUCGACGGAAACCGUGUGGCUAGAGUCCGGAAGAGGAGAGUGGAAUUCCUGGUGUAGCGGUGAAAUGCGCAGAUAUCAGGAAGAACACCAAUGGCGAAGGCAGCUCUCUGGGACGUUACUGACGCUGAGACGCGAAAGCGUGGGGAGCAAACAGG
rnacentral:rRNA from 1 species